rnacentral:rRNA from 1 species
UACGGAGGGUGCGAGCGUUGUCCGGAAUCACUGGGCGUAAAGGGCGCGUAGGUGGCCUAGAAAGCGUGUGGUGAAAGCCCGGGGCUUAACCCCGGGUCUGCCGUGCGAACUACUAUGGCUAGAGGACUGUAGAGGCAAGUUGAAUUCCGGGUGUAGCGGUGGAAUGCGUAGAGAUCCGGAAGAAUACCGGUGGCGAAAGCGCUCUGCUAGGCCGCAACUGACACUCAUGGACGAAAGCUAGGGGAGCGAAUGGG